rnacentral:rRNA from 1 species
AACGAACGCUGGCGGCAGGCUUAACACAUGCAAGUCGAACGCGUGUAGCAAUACACGAGUGGCGCACGGGUGAGUAACGCGUGGAUAUCUGCCUUUUGGUUCGGAAUAACUCCGGGAAACUGGAGCUAAUACCGGAUGGUUCCUUCGGGAUAAAGAUUUAUCGCCAAAAGAUGAGUCCGCGUACGAUUAGCUAGUUGGUGAGGUAAAGGCUCACCAAGCCGACGAUCCUUAGCUGGUCUGAGAGGAUGAUCAGCCACACUGGGACUGAGACACGGCCCAGACUCCUACGGGAGGCAGCAGUGGGGAAUAUUGGACAAUGGGCGCAAGCCUGAUCCAGCAAUGCCGCGUGAGUGAUGAAGGCCUUCGGGUCGUAAAGCUCUUUUACCCGGGAUGAUAAUGACAGUACCGGGAGAAUAAGCUCCGGCUAACUCCGUGCCAGCCGCCGCCGUAA